rnacentral:sRNA from 20 species
CAUUUAUAGUUUCAGACAUGGAAUCGCCGACAUCGGCGGUAGAAGUAAAGCCUAAGCGGA